AAACAUCGUUGUGGUGGCGGCCGCGGUGAUAGUUAUUAUUUUUGUUGUGGAAUUUAAUGGCGGCGGGGCUGUUGCUGCAGCUGAACUCGUAGUCGUGGGGAGAGACGAAGGAGGCAGUCGAGUGGUGGCGGAGAGCUAGAGUGUUGGCUAUGGCUUUGAUGGCGGCGAGUUUGCUACGUUUUAACAAGAGAUUUAAUUCUGCUACCAUUUUGCUUUUGGCAAUGUUUUUUGUAAACAUGAAGAAAAUUAUACGUAGUGUGUUCCAUACUUUCUUUGUAACUACCAUUGUUUGGUUUGUUUCAAUUUCCAUUGUUGUAACGGUUUGAUAAGUUUGUGAGUGUUUUUGUUUUGUUGAGAGAGAGAAUGAGAAUGUGUGAACGUGUGUAAUUGGAUUGUGAUAUGGUUUGUGUUUGUGAUAGGAGAGUUGGAGUUAGGUGGUAUAUAAAGGGGUUCCAAUUACAAAUUAUAAUUAUCCACUAAGAAAUUAGAUUAUGAUAAAUUUAUAAUUAAUCGUUUCUAAAAAGAUAACAACACUACCUGUCAAAAAAAGAAACAAAAGAUAACAACACUAACUUAAAAGUUCAACUUUUCCAAUGUAUGAGCAUUGACUGCUAUGGCUAUACAAAUUCAGUUAUAUUGUGGUUGCCAAAUUAUAACUGUUCAAAAUUGUACAAAGGAAUGGCACAGUGCUUUUUACCUUGUUAGAAAAAUAGUACACUCUUUUUUCUUCAUGAGCUAAAAAACAAAAGUUAUUUACAUAGAUAACCUUAUCUUUUUUACUCAUUCAAGAUUUCUUCAUUUUUGCAUUUCUAAAAUAUGGAUGCAUACAUAUAUUAUGAGAAAGAGAGAUUAGUUAUAAGAAAUAUAUGAAGAAGAAAUGUAUGUUAUAUUAAUAUCGUGAUGUUAAUCCAUUACUUUGUGUCUAGGAUGAAAACUUGAGCAAUUUGAACCGCACCUUUUAUUCUCUUUAGGGUUUGCCUGGUUUUUGGUUGUAUUACUGAGCUUUUGUUCUGGGUAUCCAUAUGCAACUAAGUUUUUAUUCCCCGGUCCUUCUUUGACACAACUUGUGCUUGAGCGACUAGGAUUCUGGUGAAUUUAUUCUAUUAUAGUUUCUUCAAAAGAAAAAAAUUGAACCACGGCUACGUGUUUCUUAUAGUGGUCUAAAUGGCUAUAUGUGGGCUUAAUAUUAGAUAUGUCUAAAGCUUAUGGUAUGAUGAUUCAUUGAGUGGUCUUUUUUUAAGGCAGUUUUGAAUAGCAUCAAUUUUCAUCAACGCCUGAUUUCCUUGAUAAUGAAUUGUGUUUCUAAUGUGUCCUUUUCUGUUUUGUUGAAUAGUGGUCUUUGUCUACCAUUUGUGUCCAUUGUGUGCUGAAGUUUUUUGAGAUUUUUUUUUCUUCUUCUAGAGCUAUUGAAAGGAACACUCUCCAUGAAAUCCAUAUUGCAAGAGGAGUAUUUGUAUAUUCUCAUUUAUGAUUUACCUUCUCAGUGUACUAUUUGAUAUUUAAUGAAAUGGCUUAAGCUUUCCUUUGCUAAAAAAAAGAAAGAAAAAAAAAGAUCAGGCUAGACCACAACUGAUGUAUCCUUUUCAAUAUCUAAGGCGAUCAAGACUAGGUUGUGAAAUAAGAUGGGAGGUAAGUUAGUAAAUGAAAGCAUUAUAUUACUAUUUUAAAUUUUUAAGAUAUGUAAUUUAAUUUUUUUUUAUAUCAACUUUGUGUUUAAUGUUAUUACAACAUAAGUUUGACGUUUUGAAAUUCUAGCGCACUUGUUUUAAUAUGUUCUGUAUGAUGUUACGGUGUUUGCAAUGUUACGAUUAAUGUUUUAACAUCACACGAUAAACAGAAAUAAAAACAAGAAAAUAAAUGAUAGGAAAGUAAAUAACACAAUGAGUUUGUUGACCUAGUUCGGUGACAAACACACCUACUCUGGGGGCUACUAAGCCAGGAAGGAAAUCCACUAGUGUAGUCCUUAUUCAAUAGCUCUCAGCAAACUCCUCGUUUACACUAUAUGACAUAGGACCUACCCGUAUAGACUUCAACCAAGGAACUCCUAGAUCUGAGAUCUCAUCUCACUAUCCUAAUGAUCAGUCAAAGCCCCUAUGACCUAUCAGACCUAAACCAAAACAAAGUAGAAGUUACAUUCCAACACAAACAACUAGCACCUUGUUUCACAACUUCGGUGUAGUACAAAGGAGUAUCAAUACUCACACACAAUCCUAACAAGUAUCACAAACGAUACAAGAAAGAACACACGAUAUAUUCUAAACUUGCAUCACAAGCGAUACAAGAGCAUAAUACAUGAAGACUCAAACCCUAAAAAUCUAAACUUUUAGAAUGAUGGCUUGAAUAAACAAUUAGGUCUUGAAGUCUUCCUUAUAUACUGAAGCAGCUUGGGCUAAAUAAUUUGUUGGGCUUCAGCAAAAUGCAGAUCGGUUCAGCUUAAUCUGCAAAACAAUAAUCAGAAACAAAUCUGGAAAGUCCUAAAAUGUCGGAACAUUAUAGGAUCGUUCCAAACAAUAAUAAAUAUUUCCUAAAAUAUAAAAUACACUUUAGAAAUAUUCCACAACUGAUUCUUAGAAGUUAUGCGCGUUACUUGAUCAAUAAGAUAAGGAAAUAUUGUUUCCUUAAACAAUAAAGGGUGCGCGUAAAAACAGGCGAGAACUCAGGCACACUGAACCGUGCCAGGAUGUUGGAGCAUCAUAUCCAACAUCUUCCAAAGACGCCUAAACACAUGUUGAAACAUUGGUUCCAACUUACAUCAAGGAUAUUUGUUUUAGCAACAAUGCAGCCAAUACAAAUACCCAACACAUUUAUAUAUAUAUAUAUAUAUAUAUAUAUAUAUAUAUAUUAACAAUAAAAAAUGAGAUAUAUUACCACAAGGAUUAACAGUCCUACUCUCUAGUUCAAGGUGUGCAAAGGAGAGCAGAACAAAAGUCUACAAAGAAUCCUGAAUAAUUACAGACAAAAAAGAGUCAACCAAUGCCCAAACAGACAAGACGUUGCUGCCACCACAUAUGGUAACCAAAAGGAAGACACGCAUUUGUAGCGUCCAGCCAAUGUAAAGUAGUAAUUUGGACUUUUUCCAAAAGUUGCAUAAUAGAUUUAGCUUUAUUAGAGAACAAUAUGUGAUUCCUUUCAUUCCAUAGCACACAAACGCUGCAAAAACGACCGACGGAGUUUAAAGCUUCCUGUGGAAUAAGCAAACUGAGAAAAAUGAUCCAAAAUAUGUUGGGAAUACACUGAAUGAAAACCAAUCCAAAUUUUGACUUGUUGCUAAAGCACACUGAAAAUAGGACAAUGAAUUAAGAGAUGAUAUGCGUUUCAUUAUAACCACAUCCGGACUCACAUUGUUGAGCAUCAACUGGGAUGUUACCUCUCCGCACCAAAUUGUCUUUUGUAGGCCACCUGUUGCGGAGAAGACGCCACACACAAAUAAUUUUAAUGGUCGACCCGUAUAUAUUUUUUCUUUUAAAUUUCUAGCUUCGUCAUUGGUGUUUUUAUUAGAGAUCAAUUAAUGUAUUAAAGCUCUUCUAAACUUGAUUUAAGGCUAACGAUUCGGGCUGUUUUAGAUAUACGAGGGUGAUGUUUGAAGGUGAUUUGUUUAUUCUUUGAAGGAAAUUUUGGAUACAUGCUAGAUAUUAUAUAAAGGCAAAUGUUAACAUAUGCCCUAAAGGCACAUGCUAAGAAAUUUGAAAUAGAAAAUUACAUUUUAGUAAAUCCAAACAAUCAAUUCUUUGUUAUUAAAUUAUUAUUUCGAGCUCCCUAUGGGACAUUCAUGUACCUGAAUUCAGCGCAUUUGGUUGAAGAAAUACGAACAAAAACUUGUGUGUAUUUUGUUAGCAACUUUAUAUUAAAAGAAUACAUGAAGAAAAGUGGCAAUUUAACAAAAGAAAAAGGAAAAAAGCAAAACACAAGCUAGUGGAUAAAAUUACUCUAAUAAAAAGUUGGUGAGGAAUUGAGAUAUGGUUGUGCUCUAUAAUUGACGGAAAUCACUAUAAGUGAGUCUUUUCUUCCUCUCAAUGUUUUCUUUGAUUUAUAAUAAACUAGUAGUUGAUACUUAUUGCACGUAACCAACGUGUAACGUACAUAUACAAUUACUUAACAAACUCAUCACUUUGAACUAUUGUUGAUAUUUUUAACUUUUUAAUUCUUGCAGUUAAUUUUGAUAUAUACUUACCAUUUUUCAACACAUGGCAUACAAAUUAUAUGGACGUCAAUCAUUAUUGACAUAAGACACCUAGUCACAUCAAUAUCAUUUUUUUAACAUCAAUCACAUUCCAAUUGACGUUGAUAUCUAAACUUGUCUCAACGUAACAACCUAUAAAUAUAGGUGGCAUUUCACAUGGGAAAGGUUAAUCAUUUCCCACCAUGGGAAAGUUGGAUUCAAUGAUUAAAUUAAGUGAAGAACAUAUUCUUAAUAUGCUCUCUCAACACUAGAUUUUUCUUCACACUAUCUUCCAACAAUUUAAAAAUUUCAAAAAUUAAUUUUCAAAAAUUAAAAAAAUCGAAAAAAAUUCAGAUAAUUUUUUUUUUUAAAUUCUGUAAUUCAUUUAUUGAAUGUUAGAAUUUUUUUUUUUGAAAAAUUGAAAAAAAAAUUCCAGAAUUUUAUUUUCUUAGAAAAAUAAAAAAAAAAUUAAUUUCAAAAUAUUUUUUUAGGAUUUUUAUUUUAUUUUUCAGAAUAUCUUAUUUUAUUAUGAAAUUAAAAAAUACAUUCUUUUUAAAAAAAUAAAAACUUAUCUUAGUUUCCAAAAUUUUAUUUUUAUUGAAAUAAAAAAAAAAUAAUCUAACAUUCAAUAAAUGAAUUACAGAAUUUUAAAAAAAAAUUAUCUGAAUUUUUUUUAUAUUUUUUCGAUUUUUUAAUUUCUGAAAAUUAAUUUUCAAAAUUUUUAAAUUGUUGGAAGAUAGUGUGAAGAAAAAUCUAGUGUUGAGAAACAUGUUAAAAAUAUAUUCUUCACUUAAUCUAAUCAUUGAAUCCAACUUUUCUAUGGUGGGAAAUGAUUAACAUUUCCAAUGUGAACACACACCAUAAAUAUAAUAAAUCUAUUUUGUUCUAGUUUUCUUUAUUUGUUUUUAAUAACUCUCCGACUUCUGUUUUAUGUAAUUAUUUUUUUAAUGAUCCCACAUUUUUCUUAGACAAAUAUAAUCCCUCUUCUUUUUUACCAACACAUACAAUAUCACAUUGCUUAUUGAUAGAAACGAGAUAAAGUCUUAAUUAAUAAAAAAGAACUAACUAAUUUAAUAUAUUUUACUAGAUUAGUUGAUAAGUCAGGUAUUCCCGGCCACAAGCAAAAACGGUAGUUUCUUGGUCAUGACCAGCUAAAGCUAAAGUUCUAUUAAAGAGCGUUUCCACGUGGUAGAACCUCAUCAGGGAGUAUAAAGCUUUCAUGAGGUUGAUCUUGAGCCGCCUUCCACGCACGAAUACCUUCAUUUAGGAAAGUAUUUUUGGUGUAGAAAGUCUCAAAUUCAGGAUCUUACACUGCAAGGGUUUCUUAAGAAAUGAAGUCGUAGACACAUAAGUUCAGGGCUAGACUGGCUACUCCAAGAGAAUUCAUCCAUAAACCAAUUACUUAGUUACUGGUAAAAAUAACAUAGAGAAAUGUAACUGACAUUUACUGGAAAAAGGAACCCCAGAUUUUUGUGACCAAAAGUGGUUAGCGGUGAUCAUUGAACAAGUUUUUUCCACUUGAGUUGGGUUAAAAGCACAGAAUGUAUUUGCGCCACCAUCAUCUUCAAAUAAUGUAUUUUCUACUAACACUGUGAAUAGUCAAGAUUGUUACAUUAUCUGGACAUAAUUAAAAGAUGUUUUUAUAUAACUCUGUAAAAGGGUAAUGACUACUCAAUGAUAUAAACACACAUUAAAUUAAACAAGUACUUGUAUAUUUUGGAGAAUAAAUGUGAAGACAUAAGACUUCUCAUAAGGGACAGUUAUUUAGUGUGACAAUAUUUAGAGGUAGUAGUUGAUUGGUUUGUCGAUUUCUUAUAUAAAAAAGAAAUAUAGAAAGCAGUGGAAGUAGCAGUAGUGGAACUAUUUUCUAAACAACGAAAAAGACAAGUUGAUUUGGUUUAUCGAAUAGGAAAACUUGGAAUUGUUGCUUCAAUUAGUAAAGAAUGGGAUAAAAGGGACUUUAUAAACUUUAAUGUUCUAGUUUAUAUUUAUUUAUUAUAUAGUUGUAUAUGUGGUGUGUCUAUGAACACAUGGAAAGCCCUCUCUACUUUAUGCAAGAGAUAAAAAGCUUCGUAACGGUAUCUUAAUGGAUUCAAUAUUUGUAUAGAAUUAUAAUAUUUUACUAAUUCAAUAGUAAAAUUUUGAAGCUAUACUAGGUUACGUAUUAUAUCUAAUUCUUGGAGAUUAUUGUAAUAUGAAGGCGCAUGGUUUCUACUUUUUGGACCAAAGAGAAAAGACAUGUGGGAUCAAAGUGGAAUCUCUUAUCCGUUUUCGAGAAGAAGUUUACUAGAUUAAUUCAUGUCAAUUGAAAUUUGGUAUAGGACAAGAAUAAAAUGACUAUUACUAUUUUUACCCUAUAAGUUUUUCACAAGUUCUACUUUUUAUCUAACAUUUGUAUGGAUUAUAUAAUCGAAAACUUUUUAUAGUGAUUUUUUGGAUUUUACAAUCUGGAACCUUGUAUUUGUUAGUUUGUUUGGUUAAGAUCACAUAGUAAUCAAGUUAGUUUUGUUUGUUAUGAAAUUAGUUACAUUUUUGCUAGAUUUUAGCAUUAUGUUGUUAGGGUUUGAGAGAUGACUUGUUUCUCAAGCAACUCAACAACACCUUGUAUAAAAGCAAUUGUAUUGUAUGAUUCACAUCUAAAUGAAAUCACAUACUUCAUAAUUCUAAUCUCCUCAUUCUCUAUUUCUUCUUAUUCGCUCAAUUCCAAUAAAAUCAAAACCCUAGCUUGAAGAACAAGCUUUGAAGCUGCGCUAACAGUAUUGCCUAGAUUUUUAGAACAACAUUGACAUAUAAUGUUAAAAAGACAUAAUUGAAAAUGAUCAAAAAUAAAAUUAGUUUAAAGAGACAAAAAUGAAUCAAAUUUUCAUUUUAUUGAUGGAUCAUAUAUUUCGUAUUACAUUACAUUAACGUUGAAGCUUAUUUCACAAAAUUAUUACACAUCUUUUACAAAUUAUUUUUUAUUAAACACCUAAUGCUAAAUUUGUGAGGGAAGGAGACUCGGGUAAGGUUUCUUUUCUCUCUAGGAAGAAUGAGACGUUGAUGGUCAACCUUACGCCCAAACAGAUUAACCUUACCUCCGCACAGAUGGUGCAAAUUUACAAAGUGACACAUUGCCCUUUAACCAUUCAAACAGCCCUUAAAAUAUUAGAGUAGUCUUUUUUUUUUUUUUUUUUAUCAAAGGCCAAUGGUGGAGAAGCACAUAUUGCAUGAUUUUUCGGUAGUCCAUAUUGCAUCGACGGUUUCUGUGGUUCACAAUGCACAAAAACUUGUAUAAAUAGAUGUGUUUGGCUCAUUUAAUGUAAAAAAAAAAAACACAAAGUUAUGAAAAAUUAUCUAGUAGAUCUAAACACCGAGAGGUUGUCAUGAACUUAAUCUUACUGCCCUACCAAUAGACCUAUGUCAGUUCACAUGACAGCAUGAUCAAGCUCAAAAAAAUAUCUUGAAACACCUUAUAUGGCACCUUAUAUGAGUGAUGAACUUAUAUCAUCGCUCAUCUUAUUAUGUUAUUUUACAUCAUCACUCAUCUUAUUACGUUGUUUACGCUGUUGAAUUGUGUCAUUUAAUUUUUUUUUGCUAUGAACAUAUAUGUAAAACUCUUAAAACCUCAAGUUUUAAAACAGUUUGGGAUAAAUAUUUAUAUUAUAUAAUCCGAACUAUCUUUGAAGAUUUCAAAUUAUAUAAUCUGAAGCAUCUCGGAUUGUGGAUGGUGGCGUUACAACCUAUGGUUUGGACGGUUUGUUAUGCGUUUAAUUUUAUUUUUAGUCGGUUUACAUUUUGUAAACGUUUCCUUUGAUUGUACCUCGACUCUGCAUAUUACAGUGAAUUAUCCGUACCAAUUGUAAUAUGCAGAACCGCGGUUUGAAUCUCAGACGCCUCACUUAUUCAUCUUUAUAGAGGUUAAUUUCUAACGAUAAAAUGUUUGAAAUUAAUGGGAAUGACAUAAUCCCUCAACAUAUGCUUAAAGUUUAAACAACUCAAUAAUUAAAAAAUAAUUAAAAAUUUCUUUUUUUUUUUUUUUUUUGUACCUUAAACAACUAUAUCUACCUUAAAUGGAAUAAUGAAAGAAACAAUUCUUCUGGGACAAAUUAUUAUUGCAAAUGUUACACCGAAAACGGUUAUAUGUUUCAUUAUGCGAUAUGAUAUGCCUAAGGGUCAUAAUACAGCUCAUAUACAUAUACAAGGACUCCUAGAGUACAACCAAUGUAUAAUUAUGUAUGACUAUUGACUAUACCAUAGUCAUACAAAAAUUCAGCUAUAUGGCAGUCAUAAUAUUUGAGUGAUAUAGCAAUGUUUGACUGCCAAAUUAUUUCAGUUCAAAAUUGUAUCUACAAAAGAAUAUCAGAGUGAUUCUUUCACUGAUUAGUCAGAAAAUAAUACUCGUACACUGAUUUUUACCCUAAAAAAUAAUAGUACAUUGAUUUUAUAGUAUGAGCAAAAAGUAAGCCAUGUAGCUUUAGAUCAGGUUCCCCGCCGUAGAAAAAUCCUACACUUACAUGCAGUUUUAGAUCUCAGCCAUCGAUUUCAUAUGUCGGUUUUUAUUACAUCUUCAUAAAACAAGUACUAAACAAUCUCUACCAUUGAUUUAAUAUCCGACAGCUAAUAUUCAUUAUAGCGACAAGAUGUAACUGUGUGUGACCCGCAUUUGAUUUUUAGGCCAAAUGAGUUAGCGUUAGACAUGACUUAUUUUGAGUUUGGGAGACAAUUGUUGAUUUUGAACGACAUAAAUAAUUGGUGUUAUGUAUUCUUCAACGAUACAUAUUCGUGCUACAUAAUUGGUCAUUUUAGACAUUCGAUCAAACAACUCAUGUUUGAAGAUUCAGCGAGUAAAAUAAACUUCAAAAUUUAAUCUUAGAACGGGUGUCAUCUAAUCGUUAUGAGGUAAAUGUAGAUUUCUAACCGGUGAUACAUAUAUUAAUAAUAAGGGUAAAUUACACUGACCUCCCCUGAAAUUUCUUUAAAUGACACAGACACCUCCUCUAGUUUCUUAAUUAGUACUAACCUCCCUUGAUAUUAAACAUUGUUUAACUUCUGUCAAAUUAUAUUAAGGAAAAAAACAAAAAACAAAAAAGCACUCAUGUUAAUGUUGUCUUUUCAUCUCCUCAAAGCCCAAAAUUUUCAUUCCUCCAUGGAAGCAACACAAAUGAAGCUCAUGUAUGUCUCUUUGAUUCUUGUCCAUUCCAUUCUCGUACAUCAUGCUUUUGUGGAUAUAUAUUUCUCUGUUCGUUUUGCUGGCAUCAAAAUCCAGGAUCAAAAAAAUGUCAGUUUCAUGGCACAAUUUAUUUGAAUAUUAAGUUCGUCCCAAACCCAUUUGCCUUUGGAAUAAUCACAAGAUUCAAUUGGUUGAAAUUUUUGUGAAUUGUUUGGAGGAAUAUGUGACAAGAAAUCAAAGCCAAAAAAACCUUUCCAUUGAAGGUUACAAAAAAUGGCUAAUAGAACGAGGAAAAAAAGCUUAGAAUUAAAACGGUUUGCAGAUUUUUUUUUUUAGGUAAGAAUUGUUUGCAGAUAUUCUACGGUUUAGUAGAUGAAGAUUAUCAUAACUAGAAAUAGAAAAAGUAGUGACUUUAAUUUUAACGGAUAAUUAACGGUGUUAAGUUGUAAAGGGAGGUAUCUUUCUAAUUAUGAGACUUUGGAGGAGGUUAAUGUCUAUUAUAAAAUUAGAGGGAGUGUUUGUUUCAUUUAAGAAAACUACGAGGGAGGUUAGUGUAAUUUAUCCUAAUAAUAAUAACCAAUGGAAAUUAAACUUUUAUACUAUUAACACCGGAAAAUAGAAAAACAUACAUAUAUGAUAUAUACAAAAGACAGUUUUACAUAGCUCCAAAACCAUAGUGUGAAUUAAACACUAUUCAUUACAAAAAGAGCAACAUCAUAAGCACCACCAACACCUCUCCAUAUUGAAAAACCAUGAUCCAAUAGGGAGCAAAGAAAAAACCACAACAUCAUAGUAAAUCAAAUCACGUGCUAUCAAAACCAUCAUCACGUGAAUUUUUACUUGACAAAGUAGUAAAAUGUAAAAGGUGUUUUUACAUAUGUCAAAAAAAGAGAGAAAUCCUUGACUAAUUAAAUAGAUGGAAAAAAAAUUAGUCCAGUUAAAUCUCACUGGUUGAAUUGAAUCUUAAUAUCAAUUCAAAUCAACUGUCCAAUUUUAACUGGGACUAAUAAUAUUCUAUCUAUUGCGGGAGUUGUUGUAAGGUGACUGAAUCGCGGCUAAUUUUUGCUGCAAGUUGAGAUUUUUAUAAAACCUUUUAAUAAAUUCUUCAGCUGCAACAUCAACAUGACUAUGAUCAUCACCUUCUUCAUCCUUUAGGGGAAAAGGUGAAUCAGUGACUCUAAUUUUUUUCCCAAUGGGACUCUUUCCAAAUCCAGGAAAUGCCACUAAAGGAGAAGGAGAAGAAAAAGUAGCAUCAACAUCAUUGAGGAUUUCUAGAACCUUUUGCAUGGUGGAAACAUCGUUGUGGUGGCAGCUAUGGCGGUGGUUUUUAUUUUUGUUGUGGAAUUUAAUGACGGCAGGGUUGUUGCUGCAGCUGAACUCGUAGUCGUGGGGUGAGACGAAGGAGGAAGACGAGUGGUGGCGGAGAGUGAGAGUGUUGGCUAUAGCUUUGAUGGCGGCGAGUUUGCUACGUUUUAGCAAGAGAUUAAAUUGUGCUACCAUUUUGCUUUUGGCUAUGUUUUUUGUAAACAUGAACAAAAUUAUACGUAGUGUGUUCCAUACUUUCUUUGUAACUACCAUUGCUUGGUUUGUUUCAAUUUCCAUUGUUGUAACGGUUUGAUGAGUUUGUGAGUGUUUUUUUUUUGUUUUGUAGAGACUUGAGAGAAAGAAUGAGAAUAGGUGAACGUAUGUGAUUGGAUUGUGAUAUGGUUUGUGUUUGUGAUAGGAGAGUUGGAGUUAGGUGGUAUAUAAAGGGGUUCCAAUUACAAAUUAUAAUUAUCCACUAAGAAAUUAGAUUAUGAUAAAAUUAUAAUUAAUCGUUUCUAAAAAGAUAACAACACUACCAGUACAAAAAACAAUUCAAAAGAUAACAACACUAACUUAAAAGUUCAACUUUUCCAAUGUAUGAGCAUUGACUGCCAUAACCAUACUUACAAAUUCAGUUAUAUCACUGUUUUUUACCUUGUCAGUAAAAUAGUACACUUACUUUUUCUUCAUGAGCAAAAAAACAAAAGUUAUUUACAUAAGAAAUGUAUGGUGCUAAUGAAUUGUGUUUCUAAUGUGUCCUUUUCAGUUUUGUGAAGUUUUUGUAUAUUCUCAAUUGUUUUUUGCACAUCUUUUUUAGAGCUAACCAGUCACACAUGCUAUCAGUAGCCAAGGUAUUCCCCAACUAUAACAAUAUUCUUCUAGUCAACUUGUGAACUUCGACAAAGCAAAGAUCUCUUUUAGAAGAAAUAUUUAUAAUGAGCAAAAAUUGACUUCCAAUGAUGGAUCUAUUUUAAUAUUGUGGAGAUAUAAUCAAAAUACUUGGGACUCAUUCUCAUGACAUUUAAUUUGCUCGUAACAAGUCUUGUUUUGAUAGAAAAUAAUUUCUCGUCGAGAAUUUUUUUUGCUGCGCUUGGGCUGCUACUUGAUGACUAUGAUUUAAUGUUGAACAUAUAGAUAAUAAAACAAUUUUAAGUUUUUCAACUCCCUUAUUUCUUGAAACCCUCGUCGUUCACCAUGUUAGAAAGUUAUUGAUGAUGAUGAUGAUGAUGAUCGCCCGAUCAACGAUAUAUGGGGCAUUGUGUUUAGUAACGACGAUAUGUAUACGCCCAGGUGGGUUAGGAUCCACCCCAAAAAAAAAUCUAUCCGGGUAAUCAUCAAAAUACUUUUGACUUUAAAAAAAAUCAGGCUAGACCAUCUUUCCCAACUUUGUAUUUAAUGUUAUUACAACAUAAAUUUUACGUUUAUAUAUCAAAAUAAUUUUAGUGGCCCACCCGUAUAUUAUUUUCUUUUAAAUUUCUGGCUUCGUCACUGGUGUUGUGAUUAGAGAUCAAUUAAUAUAUUGAAGCUCUUCUAAAUUUUACUAUACACAAAAUCUGAUUUAAGGCUAACGAUUAAGUUUGCUUUAGACAUAUACAGAUGAUAUUUGAAGGUGAUUUGUUUACUCUUUGAAGGGGAUUUUGGGUACAUGCUAGAUACUAUAAAUUACUACAUUGUAGUAAAUCCAAACAAUCAAUUCUUUUUUAUUAAGUUAUUAUUAUUUCGAGCUCCCUAUGAGUAGACAUUCAUUGUACUGAAUUUAGCGCAUUUUGUUGAUGAAAUACAAACAAAAACUUGUGUGCAUUUUGUUAGCAGCUUUAUAUUAAAAGAAUACGUAAAGAAAAGUGGCAAUUUAACAGAAGAAAAAGGAAAAAGCAAACACACAAGCUAGUGGAUAAAAUUACUCUAAUAAAAAGUUGGUGAAGAAUUGAGAUAUGGUUGUACUCUAUAAUUGACGGCAAUCACUAUAAGUGGCCUUUUCUUCCUCUCAAUGUUUUGAUUGAUUCAUUUUAAACUUGUUGAUACUUGUUGCACGUAACCAACGUGUAACGUACAUAUACAAUUACUUAACAAACUCAUCACUUUGAACUAUAAGUUUUGCUUUUAGCCAUUGUUGAUAUUUUUAACCUUUUUAAUUCUUGGAGUUAUUUUGAUAUAAACUUACCAUCUUUCAACACAUGGCAUACAAAUUAUAUGGACUUCAAUCAUUAUUGACACAAGACACGUAGUGGCAUCAAUAUCAUUUUUUGCACACCAAUCACUUUUGUGUUGACAUUGAUAUCCAAACUUGUCUCACUCUUAACAAUUUAUAUAAAUAUAUCGAUUUUGUUUUAAUUUUCUUUAUUGUUUUUAAUAACUCCAAUUUUUAUUUUUUUUUAAUAAUCCAACUUAUGUUUUAUGCUUUAUUUGCGAGUUUGGAGGGGAAAGAAGGAAAAAAAAAAAGGAAGGAGUUAGUGGAAGAAAUAGAGGACAUUGGAAGGAGCUCUUUGUGGGCUUAUUUUUCUUCAAAAUAUAAAACUCUCCUCAUUUUAGGGAACUAAACAAGUUGAAUUGGACUAGGGUUUUUGGGGGUUUGAGAGAGUUUAUAUGAAUUCUUUAAAUUUAAUUGUGUUGUUAUAAUAUUCUUAAAAUUAAAAAUAUAUUAAUCAUAAGCAUUAAUUUAUCACUCUCUAAAAUACUCUUUCAAAAAAUGUGACAGAUUUCUCAUCAAUUUUUCUCUAUAUUUCUUUCCCCUAAAGUCUUUCCUUCCUCUCCCCUCCAAACACCCAAACAAAGCCUUAAGGAAUUAUUUUUUUAAUGACCCCACAUUUUUCUUAGACAAAUAUAAUCCCUAUUCUCUUUUUACCAAUACAUACAACAUAUAACAUUGCUUAUUGAAAAAAAAUUAUUGAAGGAAACGAGAUAAAGUCUUAAUUAAUGAAAAAGUACUAACUAAUUUUAAUUUAUAGUUUACUAGAUAUGUUGAUAAACUGGGCAUUCUCGGCCAAACAAUAGUUUCUUGGUCACGAACAGCUAAAGCAACAGUUUCAUUGAAGAGCGUUUACACGUGGUAGAAUCUCCUGAUCAGGGAGUAUAAAACUUUUAUUAGGUUGAUCUUGAGUCGCCAUCCAUGCACGCAUACCUUCAUUUAGAAGAAUAUUUUUCGUGUAGAAAGUCUCAAAUUUAGAAUCCUCCGUUGCGCAAAUUUCUUAAGAAACGAAGUCAUAGACGUGUAGGUUCAGGGCCAUAUCGACUACUCCAUGAGCACUCAUCCAUAAACCAGUUACUUACUGGUACAAAUAACAUAGAGAAAUGCAACUAACGUUUAUUGGAAAAAGCAACCAUAAAGAUUUCUGGCCAAAACGGUUAACGAUGACUAUUGAAUAGUUUUUCUACUUGAGUUAGGUUAAGAGCAUGGAAUGUAUUUAUGUCAUCACCAUCUUCAAAUAAUGUAUUUUCUAUGGUAGCACCGUCGAUAACGAAUGAUAACGGGUAAAAGUAGUUAACCUAUGAUUUUUUUUUUUUUUUACACAAAAGUUAGCCUAUGAUUGUUAAAACAUGUUUUUAUAUAAUCCUGUGCAAAAGGAAAAUGACUACUCAAUGAUAUAGACCACAUUGGAUUAAACAAGUAUAGUUGUAUAUUUUGGGGAAUAAAUAUGAAGACAUAGGGGACCGUUAUUUAGUGUGACAUAGUGGAUUGGUUUGUCGAUUUCUUAUAUAAAAAAGAAAUAUAGAAAGCAGUGGAAGUGGCAGUAGUGGACUUUAUAAACUUUAAUGUUCAUUAUAUAUAAUUGUAUAUGUGGCUUAUACACGUAUCCGUGCUUGUCAAUGAACACAUGGAAAGCCCUCUCUACUUUAUGCAAGAGAGAAAAGCUUUGAACGAUAUCUAAAUGGAUUUUAGAUUUGUAUAGAAUUAAUAUUUUUUUACUUAAUAGUAAUAUUUUGAAGCUAUACUAAGUUACGUAUUAUAUCAGAUUCUUGGAGCUUAUUUUAAUAGGAAGGAGCAUGGUUUCUCCUUUUUGGACCAAAGAGAAAAGACGUGUGGGAUAUAGCUAGGCCAGAUACAAAGUGGAAUCUCUUAUCCUUUCCUGAGAAGAAGUUUCCUAGAUUAAUUCAUGUUAAUUUCAAUUUGGUAUACACGAAAUUUAGGACAAAAAUAAAAUGACUAAAUUAUUUUUUCUACCUUGUGAGCAUUUGUGAGUUUCUUACGUGUCCUUUUUUUUUUUUAAAUAUCAUUUAUUCUGAUUAUACAAUCUAAAAUUUUGUAUUGUCCAAAUUUUUAGAACAACAUUGACAUGUAAUAUUAAAAGGAUAUAAUUGAAAAUUUGUUUAAAGAGACAAAAAAAAAUUAUUACAUUAACAUCGAAGCUUAUUUCACAAAAUUAUUAAACAACUAAUGCUAAAUUAUUGAACACAUAAUGUUAAAUCUGUGGUACAAAAGGAUAGACGGGGAAUGAUAAAUAUUUGGCAAGUGUACCAAAAAAACUAUCGAAGUAGUACUAAAGUUCAUAUCCACGAGGACCGUUGUUAAUUUCUACUUAACAAGUUAGUUAAAAUAAAGGAUGUAUGAAAUUUAUGGGUUGCCCUAGGACAGUUGGAUUUGGUUUUAUAAAACUUAAACAAAGUAAAUAAAAUGGGUUGAUAAUUGGAUUAAAACAGAUGAUCAAGCCUUUCGAAUUCUUUAUUGCUCACUGUGAGUAAUUUGGCUCUCUUCUCUCUCAAAGAAAUUAAUCUAGCUUUACGACGGAUUAACUAAGUGGUUUUGAUCAAUCUCUUAACUCAAAACCCUUUCGUAAGUUAUAACAUUUUAAUCUCUUAAACCGAUUGAAUAACUGCGGAAGCAUGGUGAGAACGUUAAUCCAUAUGUCAUAACCUUCAAUUUUCUAUAUCUAGGUUCCUAGGUUGAAUUAACAUAAUUACUAUUUCAGGAUUAAAAGCUAGGGUUAGUAGUCAUUCAAUUCCUAAGAUAAAUUUAUGUGAUUGAAAGAAGUUAGGGUUAAUAGUCAUGCAAACAAUCAUACGAAAAGCAAUGAACACAAAUAAUUCUAAAUAAAGACUAGGUUUUCAUUGAUGUCAAAGAGAGUUCUUAACAAAUUACAUACUUACAUAUUACAAAGAUUCAUCUCAUGGCUUAAUCAAUCUAAGAGUUUAGCUACUCAUAACUAAACAAUCAAAUACAUAGAAAUAAUAUAACAUACAUAAAUCAGAACCAACUAUUAGUUGGGUGAGAUCCAUUACGUGUUCUUCAACUUCCUGGUGUUGUCUAUGCUCUGUUUAGGUCUCUAAAAUCGCAUACUAAGCUUCUGGUUGCAUCUGACUUUUAUAGACAAAGAAUUAGAGUUUCAGAAAAGCCCACCAUCGUGCCACGUUUCGAGACCAUCGUGGCACGAUUUGCUCAUUAAUCCUACGUGGCAGCAAAUUUACUCAACCAUCAUGGCACAUUACACAUCCAUCGUGCGAUGAUUUUUCUAGUAUUUUCAGGUAAAUUCCACGCUUCAAACGUGCCAUGAUUCAGGUCCAUUGUGGCACGAUUUAGGUCCAUCUUCAGGUAAAUUCUUGCAUUCUUCUCCAAUUUGUGCAAAACUUCUCUUAUGUGAAUCUUGAGCUGAUUUAUCCAUGUAUUCAAACAUUUGACUCUCAAAACAUUACAAAAAGGACACAAAUAUGACUAAAAAACUAGUGUUGACGUACUGUCAUCAGAGAAGAAAGCUCGAGUAAGGUUUGUUUCCUCUCUAGAGAGAAUGAAACUUUGAUGGUCAACUCCACACCUAGACAAAUCAACCUUCACUUCAGACAAAUGGUUCAAAUUUACAAACUGACAUGCCCUUAAACCAUUCAUACAUUUCUUAAAAUAUUAUAGUAACCUUUUUUUUUGCAUCAAAGGUCAAUGAUGGAAGCACAAUGUAGAAGAAAAGAGAAGGAGGAAAUGUGAGAUGAAAUGAGAAUUUGUAAAAGAUUGGUGGGUAUUUAUAAGAUGAAUUUUUGAAUAAUUAGUACAUAGAGUGUAACAUCCUUCAAUGCAUGGUCAAAAAACAUUUUAAAGUCUUGUUGAUCAGUUAAUUCUUGUUGUCGAACCCAAAAAACAUGUUAAAUGAGUCGUGCUUGAUGAUCAAGCCAUUGUAUAGUUUAUGUGGUGGUUCAGAUCAUAUAAUUCAGAAUAUACCUAUAAUUGUUCGGAUUAUAUAAUCGAAACUGAUCCUAGACUAUGUUAAAAUUCAUACUUUUUUGGGUGAUGUAAAUUUCAUAUUAUAUAAUCUGAACCAGUCAAGUACAUAAUUUUUCUGUGGUCCACAACCUACUCAACUGGAAGCAUCUAGUUCAUCCAAAUGAAGCUCAGGGAUGACGAUGAUGUGAAAACCAUGUUAUUGAUAUUUGGUCAGAAUAGUACUAAAGGACCAAUUGAGUUGAACACUGAAUUGGUCAAAGAUUUUGACGAUAUUUGAAUAAGUUUGACCGGACUCAAGAAAUUAGGACUCGUGUAGAUAUACCAGAUGAAGAAAUAAGUUUGGCUGAUCUAUGACCUUUUAUGUUUGCACUUCAUUAUGUUGUUUUAUGUUAGUGUAUUAUGUAACACUCUAAUUUUUAUUUAAUUAUUUUUAAUUGUGUGGUGUUAUUUAUUUGGUUUUGGUGAGUUAUGUGGUGUGUAUAUAUAUAUAUAUAUAUUAUAUGAUUAUUUUAUUAAAUAAUAAGAAUAAGUGGAAAAUAUGAUUAAUUAGAAUUUGGGGGUUAUGAAAUAAUUAGUAUAGUUAGUGGGAGUUAAUUGCUAAUUAGGGGAGUUACACUUUGGGAGUUAAGGAAAGAAAAACAGAGAAAAACGUUUUACGUGAAAACAGUCAAGUUUUGGGGAGAAAAGCUAGUGCAAGGGAGAGGAGCUUAGGAACCAUUUUCUGCUGUGUUUAUUCUGCAAUUCUAAGGUAAGGGUGAGGUUUACCGCAAUUCUAUAGGUUCUGAAUUCUGAUUUUGUUCUAACAGGUUUAUGUGAGAAUUGGGAGAAGUUAGGUUUUGGUUGAUUAAGGGGUUUUGGGUGUAGGAAUCGUGGAAUUGAGGUUAGAAGUGGGUUCUGGGUGCAUAAAACCUUUCAUUGCAUAUCUGUAAACUAAUUUGGGGAGUGAAUUGAGGAAAAAUGGAAUUUUUGGGAAAAACCUGCAUUCUGCCCGUACAGAAGUUCAUCGCUCGCCUCGCGAGUGAUACAACUCGCCAUGGCGAGUAGCCUUGUGAAAAUCUGGAUUUUUAAAAUGUUGUUAUAAGCCGUAUUUUGGGUAGUUUCAUGUGCCUAGAUGAUUUCUAAGAGGACUGGAGCAAGUUUUAGGUUUAAAAGAUGAUUAGGGAGCUUAGAAUUGAGGUUUGAGUGAGAAAAAUAGCAUUUUUCCCGAGAGCACCAUAUUUCUGUUCGCCUCGAGUUCGCCUCCAACUCGCCAUGGCGAGUACUUGAUUUUCUGAGCUCGCCAUAGCGAGCAGAUGUGCUCGCGAGGCGAGCUGCCCAGUAUUUUGUUGGUUGAUUUCUGUUGUUGUUUGGAUGGUUUAUUUGGUUGAAUUAUUGCAUGGCUUGUAUGCUGAUAUAUACUUCCCUGGAUGCUUUGGUUGGUUGUGAUGAAUGGAUGCUGACUGAAUGUACGUUGUACUUAAUUAAAAUUCCCUUAAAGUUGUAAAUUGGAUGGUGAAUCAUAUAUUAUGUAUAUGUAUAGGUUGGUUGGUAUGUAGAUAUACUCAAGGGGAUUAGUUGCAUAAACAUAACAGUGGGAGAGCUUUGGCUCUGGAAUGCUUAGUCGUUCAAAGUGGUGGAGUACUAGUUACUCAAAGUGGUGUAGUGGUGAGGACUUAUGUCCUGAUGAGAAUGCUUUAACCAUUCGACAGCGGUGUGGGUCACGGCCCUGAUUUUUGGUACCACAUGCAUGGGUGUUUAGAGGAGUCUUAGUGGAGUGGUGAUAAGUUGCAUUUGUUGUUGAGAUGUUUAUGAAUUAAUAUUGUUGAUAAUAUGCGAAAUUGAUGUUAUGUAAAUAAUAAUGUGGAUGAAUUAUUUGAUAGGGUGUUAGAUUCAAUUGAUGAAUUCCUUACUUAUAUUUUGUUGUGAAUCUCACCCCUUCUGCUUGAAAAUGUUGCCCUUCCUAUGGGUAACUUGCAGGUGAUCCUGAGUAGUUGGUGGUGGCUCAAUGUGUCUAGGACUCUGAUGCGUGGGAUGGGAUUUAUAGUUUAAAUUUCUACCUAUGUAUCAAAUUUUGGAACAAGUUAACGUAGUCCAUGUUUAAUGUUGAAUUUUUAUGUUGAGGCCUAGUGCCAAGAUUAAUGUUGGAUAAUAGAGUUUAAUUUUGAAGAAUAUUCCGUUGCAGUUUAAUGAAGUUUUAUGAAGGAUGUUGUUAAAUAGUUUUAAUCUAUUUAAGAAUUUAUGUUUAGUAGUGUGACAUGCUGUUUGGUGUUGAACUCUGAUUUUAUAAUUAUAAUUAAAUUGAUUUUGGGAAACGGGGUGUUACAUAUUAUGUCGUUUUUAUUUUAAAGUAUUUAAAAUUGUUAUAUUUACUGUAUGUUGCUGAUAUUAAAUUACAUGUGUUAAAACUCGUGCUUUAUAGGGUGAAGGACACGAUUUUACAAACUGAACCUGUCAAGUACAUGAUUUUUCGAUUGCUCAUAUUGCAUCGACAGUUUAUGUAGCUCACGAUGCCCAAAAACUCGUAUAAAUAGAUGUGUUCGGUUCAUUUGCUAUAAAAGACAACACAAAGUUAUGAAAAUUAUUUGGUAGAUCUGAGCACCAAAAGGUUGUCAUGAACUUAUUCUUACUACCCUGUCAAUAGACACAUGUGAGUUGGCAUGACAACAGGAUCAAACUCAAAAAAGAUCUUGAAUCACCUUUCCUUUCGCUUUCGUCAUCGAUCAUAUAUAUGAUAUUAUGUUCUUUUAUAUCAUCACUCACCUUAUUAUGUUUUUUCUACAUCAUCGCUCAACUUAUUAUGUUGUUUUACGCUGUUAAAUUAUGUUGUUUUAUUUUAUUUUUUUGCGAAUGUACACAUAUUUUGGAAAAGAUAAAUGAUAUUUAUAUAUUUAUUUUUUGACAACUUUUGAAACUACCCUCUCUCUCAUACUCACAUGUGUUUUUAUUUUCUUUCUUCUUCUUUCUCUCUCUAUUGUUUUAGUCCAAUAAAAAGAGGAAAAAAAACAAUUGUGAGAAGAGUUGUAAAAAAUUAAUUGUACAAAUAUCACUUCUCUUUAAAAAAUGAUUAUAUGUUUCAUUCUUUGGAUAUGAUAGUCCUAACUAAGGGUCAUAGUACAUCUCAUAUACAAGGACUCUGUCUCUAGAGUACAACGAUGUAUAAUUAUGUAUGACUAUUGACUACCAUGGUCAUACAAAAGUUCAGUUACAUGGCAGUCAAAAUAUGUGAGUGAUAUAGCAAUGUUUGACUUCCAAAUUAUUUCAAUUGAAAAUUGUAUCUACAAAAGAAUAUCUCAGUGAUUCUUUCACUGAUUAGUCGGAAAAUAAUAGUACACCGAUUUUCGCCCUAAAAAAUAAUAGUACAUUGAUUUUAGGGUUAAAUAUGUUUUUGGUCCCUAUAAAUAUACCAAUUUUUCCUUUUAGUCCCUCUAAAAUUUUCCUUCAACUUUUAGUCCCUAUAAAAUUUCAAUCACUACUUUUGGUCCCUAUUUUAAAGUUAAUUUUAGUAUUUUUGAAUGAAAUUGUGCAGAAAUGUGUAGAAUAUUGUAAAAAUAUUUCCCAAAAAAAAAUUAGAAUUUUUUUAACUAAACAUAAAUUUAAUAUGAACUUUUAACCAUAAAAAAUAUAAAAAUUCAUAUUAAAUUCAUGUUCUUUUAAAAAAUUCGAAAUUUUUUUGGGAGAGAUUCUUAUAAUAUUAUGAAUUUUUCUGCAAAAUUUUAUUCAAAAAUACGAAUUCUACAUAUGAUUUUAUUUUAAAGGAGGGACCAAAAGUGAAGAUUGAAAAUUUUUAAGGGACUAAAAGUUGAAGGAAAAUUUUAGAGGGACUAAAACGAAAAGUUGGUAUAUUUAUAGAGACCAAAAUCAUAUUUAACCCUUGAUUUUAUAGUAUGACAAAACGUAAGCCGUCUCCCUAUGUAGAAAAUAACUAAGGUUACAUGUAGUUUUAGAUCUCAACAUCGGUUUCAGAUUCCAGUUCUUAUUACAUUUUCAUAAAAUAAGUAUUAAACAAUCUCGACACUGAUUUAAAAUCGACUAAUAUUCAUUACAGCGAUAAGAUGUAACUGCGUGGAUCGCAUUCAAUUUUUAGGCCAAAUAAGUUUGCGUUAGACACGACUUAUUGAGUUCUAUGGAAGAUUUUUGAUUUUGAACGGCAGAAAUAAUUGGCGUUAUGUAUCCUUCAACGAUGCAUAUACAUGCUACAUUAAUGGUCGUUUUAGACAUUCAAUCAGACAACUCAUGUUUCGAGAUUCAGCGAGUGAAAUUAACUUUAAAAUUUCAUCUUAGUACAGGUGUUGUUUAAUCGUUAUGAGAUAAAUGUAGAUUUUUAGACUGUGAUACAUAUAUUAAUAAUAGUAUCCAAUGAAAAACAUACAUAUAUGAUACAUGUAUCUAUACCAAAUAGAUAUAUGAUAUAUACAAGAGACAGUUUUUCAUAGCUCCAAAACCAUAGUGUGAAUUUAACACUAUUCAAAUACAAAAAGACCAACAUCAUAAGCACCACCAACACCUCUCCAUCUUGAAAAACCAUGAUCCAAGAGAGAGCAAGGAAAAAACCACAACAUCAUAGUAAAUCAAAUAAAGUGCUAUCAAAACCAUCAUCCCGUGACUUUUUACUUGACAAAGUAGUAAAAUGUAAAUGGUGCUUAUACAUAUGACAAAAAGGCUGUAACCCGUGACUAAUUAAAUAGAUGGAAAAAAAUGAGUCCAGUUAAAUCUCAGUAGUUGAAUUGAAUAUCAAUUCAAAUCAACCGUGCAUAUUUAACUGGACUAAUGAUAUUCUAUCUAUUGUGGGAGUUGUUGUAAGGUGACUGAAUCGCAACUAAUUUUUGUUGCAAUUUGAGAUUUUUAUAAAACCUUUUAAUAAAUUCUUCAGCUGCAACAUCAACAUGACUAUGAUCAUCCCCUUCUUCUUCCUUGAGAGGAAAUGGAGAAUCAGUGACUCUAAUUUUUUUCCCAAUGGGACUUUUUCCAAAACCAGGAAAUGCCACUAAAGGAGAAGGAGAAGAAAAAGAAGAAACAUCAAUAUCAUUGAGGAUUUCUAGAACCUUUUGAAUGGUUGAAACAUCGUUGUGGUGGCGGCCGCGGUGAUAGUUAUUAUUUUUGCUGUGGAAUUUAAUGGCAGUGGGGCUGUUGCUGCAGCUGAACUCGUAGUCGUGGGGAGAGACGAAGGAGGCAGUCGAGUGGUGGCGGAGAGCUAGAGUGUUGGCUAUGGCUUUGAUGGCGGCGAGUUUGCUACGUUUUAACAAGAGAUUUAAUUGUG
rnacentral:lncRNA from 1 species